AGAGUUUGAUCCUGGCUCAGGAUGAACGCUGGCGGCGUGCCUAACACAUGCAAGUCGAGCGGUAUAUAUCUAAACAAAACUUCGGUCUAGUGAGGGUAUAGAGAGCGGCGGACGGGUGAGUAACGCGUAGGCAACCUGCCCCAUACACAGGGAUAGCCUCGGGAAACCGGGAUUAAAACCUGAUAAUGCGAGAAGUUCACAUGGACAACUCGCCAAAGAUUUAUCGGUAUGGGAUGGGCCUGCGUCUGAUUAGCUAGUUGGUGGGGUAACGGCCUACCAAGGCGACGAUCAGUAGCCGACCUGAGAGGGUAAUCGGCCACAUUGGAACUGAGACACGGUCCAAACUCCUACGGGAGGCAGCAGUGGGGAAUAUUGCACAAUGGGCGAAAGCCUGAUGCAGCAACGCCGCGUGAGCGAUGAAGGCCUUUAGGUCGUAAAGCUCUGUCCUUGGGGAAGAAAAAAAUGACGGUACCCUUGGAGGAAGCCCCGGCUAACUACGUGCCAGCAGCCGCGGUAAUACGUAGGGGGCAAGCGUUAUCCGGAAUUAUUGGGCGUAAAGAGUGCGUAGGUGGUUUUGUAAGCGCGGGGUGAAAGGCAAUAGCUCAACUAUUGUAAGCCUUGCGAACUGUAAGACUUGAGUGCAGGAGAGGAAAGCGGAAUUCCUAGUGUAGCGGUGAAAUGCGUAGAUAUUAGGAGGAACACCAGUGGCGAAGGCGGCUUUCUGGACUGUAACUGACACUGAGGCACGAAAGCGUGGGGAGCAAACAGGAUUAGAUACCCUGGUAGUCCACGCCGUAAACGAUGAGCACUAGGUGUCGGGGCCGCAAGGCUUCGGUGCCGCAGUUAACGCAUUAAGUGCUCCGCCUGGGGAGUACGCACGCAAGUGUGAAACUCAAAUGAAUUGACGG
rnacentral:rRNA from 1 species